AGUCGAGCGAGCUUGCCUAGAUGAUUUUAGUGCUUGCACUAAAUGAAACUAGAUACAAGCGAGCGGCGGACGGGUGAGUAACACGUGGGCAACCUGCCCAAGAGACUGGGAUAACACCUGGAAACAGAUGCUAAUACCGGAUAACAACACUAGACGCAUGUCUAGAGUUUGAAAGAUGGUUCUGCUAUCACUCUUGGAUGGACCUGCGGUGCAUUAGCUAGUUGGUAAGGUAACGGCUUACCAAGGCAAUGAUGCAUAGCCGAGUUGAGAGACUGAUCGGCCACAUUGGGACUGAGACACGGCCCAAACUCCUACGGGAGGCAGCAGUAGGGAAUCUUCCACAAUGGACGAAAGUCUGAUGGAGCAACGCCGCGUGAGUGAAGAAGGGUUUCGGCUCGUAAAGCUCUGUUGGUAGUGAAGAAAGAUAGAGGUAGUAACUGGCCUUUAUUUGACGGUAAUUACUUAGAAAGUCACGGCUAACUACGUGCCAGCAGCCGCGGUAAUACGUAGGUGGCAAGCGUUGUCCGGAUUUAUUGGGCGUAAAGCGAGUGCAGGCGGUUCAAUAAGUCUGAUGUGAAAGCCUUCGGCUCAACCGGAGAAUUGCAUCAGAAACUGUUGAACUUGAGUGCAGAAGAGGAGAGUGGAACUCCAUGUGUAGCGGUGGAAUGCGUAGAUAUAUGGAAGAACACCAGUGGCGAAGGCGGCUCUCUGGUCUGCAACUGACGCUGAGGCUCGAAAGCAUGGGUAGCGAACAGGAUUAGAUACCCUGGUAGUCCAUGCCGUAAACGAUGAGUGCUAAGUGUUGGGAG
rnacentral:rRNA from 1 species